UUUUAUGAAUGAGCGUAGAAAGUAGUUUCUUGAGAUGGAAUCUGCUCCUGGUGAAGAUGCUGUGAA
rnacentral:pre_miRNA from 1 species